AUGAUGGAGCCUGGAAGGUUCUGGGAGGUCCUGGGAGGUUCUGGGAUGUUCCGGGAUGUUCUGGAAGGUUCUGGGAGAUCCUGGAAGGUUCUGGGAUGUUCUGGAAGGUUCUGGGAUGUUCUGGGAUGUUCUGGAAGGUUCCAGGAUGUUUCCAAUCCAUAAUUCCCCGUUAUUUUCCCGCAAUCAGAGGAUUUCGGAGCACCACGAUGACGGAGUCUGGGAUGUUCUGGAAGGUUCUGGGAUGCUCUGGGAUGUUCUGGAAGGUUCUGGGAUGUUCUGGGAUGUUCUGGAAGGUUCCAGGAUGUUUCCAAUCCGGAAUUCCCCGUUAUUUUCCCGCAAUCGGGGGUUUCUGAGCACCACGAUGACGGAGUCUGGGAUGUUCUGGAAGGUUCUGGGAUGUUUCCAGUCAGGAAUUCCCCGUUAUUUCCCAGCGAUGAGCGGGUUUCUGAGCACCACGAUGACGGAGUUUGGGAUGUCUGGGAUGUUCUGGAAGGUUCUGGGAUGUUCUGGAAGGUUCUGGGACGCUCUGGGAUGCUCUGGAAGGUUCU